UACGAAGGGGGCUAGCGUUGUUCGGAUUUACUGGGCGUAAAGGGUGCGUAGGCGGUCGGGUAAGUCUGAUGUGAAAUCUCACAGCUUAACUGUGAAACUGCAUUGGAUACUAUUCGGCUUGAGAGUUGGAGGGGGGACUGGAAUUCUUGGUGUAGCAGUGAAAUGCGUAGAUAUCGGAAGGAACACCAGUGGCGAAAGCGGCUUCCUGGUCCAGCACCGACGUCAGGCACGAAAGCGUGGGGAGCAAACAGG
rnacentral:rRNA from 1 species